AGGACAAACGCUGGCGGCGUGCCUAACACAUGCAAGUCGAGCGCGAAAGGGACCUUCGGGUCCCCUGAGAGCGGCGAACGGGUGAGUAACACGUGGGCAACCUGCCUCAAGGACUGGGAUAACACCGGGAAACCGGUGCUAAUACCGGGCGAUGUUAUGCGGCGCAAGCUGUAUAACCAAAUGGUAGCUUCGGCCUCCGCCUUGAGAUGGGCCCGCGUCCUAUCAGCUUGUUGGUGAGGUAAUGGCUCACCAAGGCUUCGACGGGUAGCUGGUCUGAGAGGAUGAUCAGCCACACUGGGACUGAGAUACGGCCCAGACUCCUACGGGAGGCAGCAGUGGGGAAUCUUGCGCAAUGGGCGAAAGCCUGACGCAGCAACGCCGCGUGAGCGAAGAAGGCCUUCGGGUUGUAAAGCUCUGUCAGGAGGAAAGAAGGCACCUGGGUUAAUAGCCUAAGGGUUGACGGUACCUCCAAAGGAAGCCACGGCUAACUACGUGCCAGCAGCCGCGGUAAUACGUAGGGGGCAAGCGUUGUCCGGAAUCAUUGGGCGUAAAGAGCGUGUAGGCGGCUCGGUAAGUCCGCUGUGAAAGUCCAGGGCUCAACCCUGGAAAGCCGGUGGAAACUGUCGGGCUAGAGUCCGGAAGAGGCGAGUGGAAUUCCUGGUGUAGCGGUGAAAUGCGCAGAUAUCAGGAGGAACACCAAUGGCGAAGGCAGCUCGCUGGGACGGUACUGACGCUGAGACGCGAAAGCGUGGGGAGCAAACAGGAUUAGAUACCCUGGUAGUCCACGCCGUAAACGAUGGGCACUAGGUGUGGGGGGUGUCGACUCCCUCCGUGCCGACGCUAACGCAUUAAGUGCCCGCCUGGGG
rnacentral:rRNA from 1 species